GGCGCUAGGAGUCAACUAAAUGUGCCACAUGUGUGCGAGCAACGGAGCGGAUCUAAGCACUUUCGGAAGCCCGUACUUGCCGCGGAACAGCAUGAGGGCACAUGACUAACUUGGAACUUACCCCUUCCGGUACUUCCCGAUCAUUGCUAUAGUCGGCGGUCAACUGUAGAAAGGUCGCAAAACAUUCAAAUACGACGAGAAACGAAAACACAUCGAAGAAGUAUCGCAGAUUGGUGAAAGUACGCCACGAAAAAGGUUUCGGCUCAUCGCGCACAACAGGGCGUGAUGCAAAGGCUAAAAAUAAAACUUGCGAAGGUGAUCACUCCUAAAAGACUUAUACUUCGAACUGUUCGGAAUCUCCUGAUGAAAUUAUCCAUAAGCGCUGGCAUGAAGAACACGCUCACACCCGCAAUCGUUUCCUGCAUACCUGGUA